rnacentral:snRNA from 1 species
AGAUCACUGAGGGUGAUCAUGCUGUGACAUCUGUCACCCCAUUGAUCUCCAGGGUUUAUUUGGCUGAUCUGGCUGGCUGGGCAGGUGUCCUCUUCCACCCUCACCACUCCAUACGUAUCCCUCCCAAAGCUGCAUGCUCAGUAGAAGAGACCAACCUUCUCUGCCGAUAGAGGAGGACCAUUCUUCAGUCAAGAGUAUACAAGUAGCUGCACUCUCCUGCUAGAACCUCCAAACAAGCCCUCAAAUAGCAUUUAGUUUUCAAAAAAUGGCUGCAACUGGUAAGAACAGUGAAAGCUGUGGCAUUU